rnacentral:rRNA from 1 species
AUUGAACGCUGGCGGCAUGCUUUACACAUGCAAGUCGAACGGUAACAGCACUUCGGUGGCUGACGAGUGGCGAACGGGUGAGUAAUACAUCGGAACGUGCCUAGUAGUGGGGGAUAACUACUCGAAAGAGUAGCUAAUACCGCAUGAGAUCUAAGGAUGAAAGCAGGGGACCUUCGGGCCUUGCGCUACUAGAGCGGCUGAUGGCAGAUUAGGUAGUUGGUGGGAUAAAAGCUUACCAAGCCGACGAUCUGUAGCUGUUCUGAGAGGACGACCAGCCACACGGGGAGAGUGAGAGGGCGAAGACGCAAGCGGGAGGCAGCAGUGGGGAAUGGAGGAAGAAGGGCGCAGGGUUGAAAAAGCAUUGCGGAGGGAAGGAAGAAGGCCUUCGUGUGGUAGAAGGGUUUUGUAGGGAACGAAAAGACAAGUACAAAUAAAGGAGGGGCAGGAAGGGACGGGAAGAAAAAGCACGGGCUAACUACGAG